AUUAAUGCAGAUAGUGGAUGCCUAGGCUUAUCUGGCCGAUGAAGGACGCUAACCCCGCGAAAGUGGUUGGGUAACUGGGAAAAAGUUAUGAUCCAGCCGUGUCCGAAUUGAGCAAUCACGCUAUGUGAGAGCAUAGUGGCCCUAAAUUUAAAAUUUAGGUGGGUAACCCGCCGAACUGAAAUAUCUAAGUAGGCGGAGGAAAAGAAAACGUAAGAGAUUCCCUGAGUAAGCGACGAGCGAAAAGGGACCAGUCCAAACCCGGAAUUUAUUCCGGGGGUUGUAGGACCUCAACAUUCGAUUUUAGAAGAUAGAAGAACGCUUUGGAAUGAGCGAUCAAAGAGGGUGAUAAUCCCGUAAGCAAAAUCUAAUAAAACGAUAGAGGAUUCCUGAGUAGGUUGGGAGACGGCAAACUCCCUUCUGAAUCCGGGGUGACCACACUCCAAGACUAAAUACCAGAUAAGACCGAUAGUGAACGAGUACCGUGAGGGAAAGGUGAAAAGAAGGGUUGAAGACCCCGUGAAAUAGAACCUGAAACCAUCUGCUAACAAUCAGACAAAGCACAUUUAUUGUGUAAUGUCGUGCCUAUUGAAGAAUGAGCCGGCGAGUAUUUGGCAACUGCUUAGGUUAAGACAUUUCGUGUCGAAGCCGUAGUGAAAGCGAGCGUGAAUAGCGCGAUCUGUAGUUGCUGAAUGACCCGAAACCGGGUGAGCUUACCAUGACCAGGAUGAAGCCCUGAUAAUAUCGGGGUGGAGGUCCGCACCGGUGUAUGCUGCAAGAUGCUCGGAUGAGUUGUGGUAAGAGGUAAUAUGCCAAUCGAACCCGGAGAUAGCUGGUUCUCCCUGAAAUAUAUUUAGGUAUAGGGUUACGUGAAGUUGCGAGGGGGUAGAGCACUGAUCUGGUGCCUUGAGCGAAAGCUUAAGCGCCUAGUUAAACUCCGAAUACCUCGUAAUGUUUCGUAGCACUCAGCACCUGGGAGCUAAGUUCCAGGAGCAAAAGGAAAACAAACCAGACCUACAGCUAAGGUCUCAAAUUACAUAUUUAGUGGGAAAAGAAGUGUUAUUCCUAACACACCUAGGAGGUCGGCUCAGAAGCAGCCAUCCUUUAAAGAAAGCGUAACAGCUCACUAGCCGAGGAAUAAUGCGCUGAAAAUCCAACGAGGCUCAAAUAUGUAACCGAAGCUUAGGGUUUCGAUAUUAAAUUUAUUUGAUAUUGGAGCGGUAAGGGAGCGUUCUGUGUGCUUUNNNNNNNNNGUAGCGAAAUUGGGGUGAGAAUCCCCGACUCCGAAUGACCAAGGUUUCCGCACCCACGUUCGUCGUGUGCGGGUUAGGCGACCCUAAGGUGAGCCCUCGUUAAUGAGGGGUAGCCGAUGGAUUACUGGCUAAUAUUCCAGUCCUUGGUUAGGAUCAUUUGACUUGGGAAGGGACGGUGAUGGAUAACGUGUGAGCAGCGGUGAAUGUUGCUUCAAAGCACUAAAGCAGUCUAAAUUGGAAAAUCCGUUUAGGCGUUUAUCUGAAGUGUUAUAGGGCUCUGAUUCCUUUUGGAAGACGAGUUACGCGCGAUUUCAUUAUCCUGGAAAAGCUUCGCAAGGAGAUUCUAAUCAAAUCGUACCGAUAACCGACACAGGUGGUCAGGUCGAGUAGACCAAGGAGAGCGAGAGAAAAUAGUUUAAGGAACUCGGCAAAACAGCUGGGCGUAAUUUCGAGAGAUGCCCUCCUCUUUACAGUAAUGUAAAGAGGCGCAGUGAAUGUCAUGAGGUUGACUGUUUACCAAAAACACAGGUCUGUGCAAACUCGUAAGAGGAAGUAUACGGGCUGAAGCCUGCCCAGUGCCGGAAGGUUAAUUGAGGGGGUUUUGUCUAAUUUAUUAGAUAAGGCCUCUGAUCGAAGCCCCGGUGAACGGCAGCAGUAACUAUAAGUACAAUUGUAGUUAAAAAAGUUAGCUAUAUGCUGGAAAAUCUUGACAGGUCAAUCGUACUGCUGAUACAAUAUCAGUAGUGACAAUCGAUUGAAUAGAGAUAAUCAGCAGGAAAGACUGACAGAAUGUCAAAUUAUAAUCAAAUUCCCAUUAAUAUUGCUUGGUAUUUAUCAGGUUUUGUAGAUGGAGAAGGAAGUUUUAACAUUUCCUUUCGUAAGAAAGAUGAUUAUAAAACUGGUUGGCAACCAGUACUAAGUUUUAAUGUUUCUCAAAGAGAAAAAACUAUCUUAGCUUUAAUGAAACACCACUUUAAAUGUGGCAUUAUUAAGGCUAGACAAGAUGGUUUGCACUCUUACGAUGUAACUAAUCCUAAAAUGUUAAAAGAAUUUAUUUUACCAUUUUUUACAAAAUACAAUUUUUUUUCUCAAAGAAAAAAGAAAAAUUUUGCAAUUUUUAAGAAAGCUGUCGAAUUAAUGUUUGAAAAAAAGCAUUUAACAGAAGCUGGAUUAAAAGAAUUAGUAGAGUUAAGAGAAAAAAUCAACUUAGGAGCCGGUCGUACUAGAAAGUACGUAAAAAAAGACAUUUUAUCAGAAUCCUCAGAGACUAUACGCUAACCUCAAAUUUCGGUUUGAGAUGAUAUAGUCCGAUCCUUAUGGAGACAUAAGGAGCGUGGUAGAAAUAACCACGCCCCCCAUUAAUUAAAUUUAAUUGAACGUUAAGUUUAAUGGAGUAACAAUAAUGAACUGUUCUAUGGUAGGAAAGCUGCCUUAGUAAAACUCAACUAUAUGCUGGAAACUCUGAGAAUCUUGAUCUACUUAUCAAUUUAUGGUAUACAUUUACCAUAGAUGAGUGAAAAUGAUCCAAGUGCAGACAAUCAGCAGGGAAGACUUGAUUUU
rnacentral:rRNA from 1 species